CGCGGUAUCCUGACCGUGCGAAGGUAGCAUAAUCAUUAGUCUCUUAAUUAGAGGCUGGUAUGAACGGCUAAACGAGAAAAAUACUGUCUCUAGUAGAAUAAUUGAAAUUCAUUAUUAAGUGAAAAAGCUUAAAUUUUUCUGGAGGACGAUAAGACCCUAUAGAGCUUUAUUUCCUUACCAUUAAAAUUUACAAGAUGUUAUAAAUUUAAUUUAAAAGAAAUUUUGUUGGGGCGACAGAAAGAAAAUAUMUAACUCUUCAUUAUUUAAACAGCAAUUGCUGAUUAACAAGAUCCUCAAAGUGAGAUCAAAAGAACAAGUUACCUUAGGGAUAACAGCGUAAUCCUUUCUGAGAGUUCUCAUCGACGA
rnacentral:rRNA from 1 species